GCUGGAGACCCAGUUGCUGUUUCGAGGGAGGGAGGGAACCGAGGGUGCGCGUGUGAAAGCUCCGCCCCCAGCCCUCGCUCCUCCUUCUCGCUUCAGCAGGUCCUGGCUCUGCGCCAGUGCAUCCUUCUGCAAGAGUGCGCUGCCUGGGCCCGCUUGCUCUGGGGUUAACUUCAGUAGUCAACGGAGAGGAGUGAAAACCUUACUGGAUGCGGACAGGAGAGCCAGUUACUGAAGGCAAAUAUAAUAACGCGGAUCCUGUAAAGAGUGAAAGGAGGAGACCACUUUUAGUUGCCUCCCUGCUAGCACCCUGACUUGCAUUGCUUGAGUAAGAAUCCAAGGACACAAGCUAAGACAUUUGCACUGAGUUUAGAUCUACUGCGAUUCAGAAAACACAAAAGAACUUGCAAUCAGAGGGUGACACAUAAUGAUUUUAGACAAAACUCAGUUUCUUCUUGUGGAAGCUAUUCAGAUUGGAGAGUGGGAGGAAAAAGGAGUGAAGCAUCGCUUAACAACAAAAGUAAUAAUGCAGGCAGAAUAUUAAAUGGAGAAGACAGACUUGCAACACAUAGAAAAGAAAGCUACUUCAGAAUGUUGAGAGACUUGGGAGCUGAUUGAUUGAAGGUGACACUUAGAAGGUUGCCCUUUUUAAAGAUAAAGGCUGAUACUGUGACUCUGUCCCAGGGGACCUGAGUAAAGAACUCAUCAGAGAUGUGGGACCACUAUUCAGAACAAGAUUUGGAGAGCUGGGGCAGAGAAGAUUUUACCUUGGGGAUUUCUUCAGCUGCGAGUAGUAAAUUGGUUAUGCCUUAAUGAGUGAAGUUUGUCAAAUUUUAAGAUAGGAUGUUAUUAUGCCUUUUAAAAGAAUGAGGUAGAGUAUAACAUCUGAUUUGGAGUUCUUUCCAGCAUUUUAAGGUCUUUAAAGAAAACAAAUUAGAGAAAAAUAAAUAAAUAUAGAUCAUGCUGUACAUA